rnacentral:tRNA from 1 species
GCUGUAGUAGCUUAUC